UCUCUCUGAAUCUGCGAACGGCUCCGCAAACCAGUUGUAAACUAUAGCAAGCAAGCUCAGGGUUGGCCCUCACGGGCCGGCUCGGGGCGAUAUGGAUAACCCUGGUAAUUCUGAGGCUAAUACAUGAGUGUAAACCCUGGAGGACCGGCUUCGGCUGGGAAUCUGGGGGAUGUGCGAUUGCAGGCUUGGUAACACCGGGAAAGGGCGCACGUUCAGAUCACGCUAAAAAGGUCGGGCUCCUUCGGGGGCCUGCCCCAGUGACUCUUGCUGUGUGCUUCUGACCUAUCAACUAGACGGCAGCGUAAGGGACAUGCUAUGGUGACAACGGGUACAGAGGAUUAGGGUUCGAUCCUGGAGAGUGGGCCUGAGAGAUU
rnacentral:rRNA from 1 species